AUGUUUCCCGAGAGAGACUGCCUUCUCUCAGGCCAACAGUCUUAUACUUAUAGUCGACUGCUCUAUGACGAUUUGAGCUCUUUCCUGGGCUCUGCUUGCUCGUCUACGCUCCGACCAAUUUAGUCAAAAUCGAAAAAACGAUGUUUCCUUGAAAAAGUCUAA
rnacentral:rRNA from 1 species